rnacentral:RNase_P_RNA from 1 species
GGGGUCGCUCCGGCACGCCGCAAGGUGGCGCCGGGGAGGAAAGUCCGGACUCCGCAGGGCAGGGCGUCCGGCCGUCAAGGCCGGAACGGCGUCGCCAUACCGGCGCCGAUGGAAAGUGCCACAGAAACAAACCGCCUCGGCCGCAAGGCCGCGGCAAGGGUGAAAAGGCGGUGUAAGAGACCACCGGCCGUCCAGAGAUGGGCGGUGCCAGGCAAACCCCGCCCGGAGCAAGGUCGAAUAGGGGGGCUAAGGCGCUGCCCGCGCCGCCGCAGCGAUGCGUAUGCCCCCGGGUUGACCGCGCUAGACAAAUGACCUCGGCCGCUUCGGCGGCCAACAGAAUCCGGCUUACGG